CUGUAGGACACACUUCAGGACCAGUGCAAAUCCCCGCUGUUGCAGGACAUGGUGGAGUUGAAGCUGCAGGGUCCUACCAGUGGUGGAUUCCACCCUUACCCCCUGCCCCUCUGGGUCAGGUACUGCUCCCCAGAGGUCAGGGGUCAACCCCAGGAAUCUCCUGCAGGCCUCUUACCUGCUGUGUUGAGGGAAAUUGGACAGCACAGACCCUCUCUCUGGGGUUCCCAUGCUGGAGGCUGGACACAGGAACAGUUUUGAAGUUUGAUGUUUCCGUAUACAUUUUUAAAGGCCAUACUGUGACGUGACACUUUCAAGAUCUUACUUCUCCAACCAGAGAUUGAACCUGGGCCACAGCAGUGAACUUGCCGAGUCCAGACCACUGGAUCAGCAGGGAACUCCCCAUAUUUAUUGUUUAGUUUAUUUCUGUGUGUUCAGAUUUCAUAUUGCUAUUGUGGAUGAUGUUGUUUUGUAUCAUUAAUUAUGGUUAGUUUUCACUGAUCAUGUAGAUAAAUAGAAAAG
ensembl:lncRNA